rnacentral:rRNA from 1 species
CCUACGGGUGGCAGCAGUGGGGAAUAUUGGACAAUGGGGGCAACCCUGAUCCAGCCAUGCCGCGUGUGUGAAGAAGGCCCUCGGGUUGUAAAGCACUUUCAGUGAGGAAGAACGCCUGGUGGUUAAUACCCAUCAGGAAAGACAUCACUCACAGAAGAAGCACCGGCUAACUCCGUGCCAGCAGCCGCGGUAAUACGGAGGGUGCGAGCGUUAAUCGGAAUUACUGGGCGUAAAGCGCGCGUAGGUGGCUUGAUAAGCCGGUUGUGAAAGCCCCGGGCUCAACCUGGGAACGGCAUCCGGAACUGUCAAGCUAGAGUGCAGGAGAGGAAGGUAGAAUUCCCGGUGUAGCGGUGAAAUGCGUAGAGAGCGGGAGGAAUACCAGUGGCGAAGGCGGCCUUCUGGUCUGACACUGACACUGAGGUGCGAAAGCGUGGGUAGCAAACAGGAUUAGAUACCCGUGUAGUC